rnacentral:rRNA from 1 species
GACGAACGCUGGCGGCGUGCUUAAUACAUGCAAGUCGAGCGGAGCUGUUGAGGAAGCUUGCGAAUCAACAGUCGAGCGGCGGACGGGUGAGUAACGCGUGGGCAAUCUGCCUUCUAGCCUGGGACAACAGUUCGAAAGGACUGCUAAAACCGGAUAUGCUCCCGAAGGGACAUCCCUUUGAGAGGAAGGGAUACGCUAGAAGAUGAGCCCGCGUCCCAUUAGCUAGUUGGUGAGGUAACGGCCCACCAAGGCGACGAUGGGUAGCCGACCUGAGAGGGUGACCGGCCACACUUGGACUGAGACACGGCCCGGACUCCUACGGGAGGCAGCAGUAGGGAAUUUUCCGCAAUGGGCGAAGGCCUGACAGAGCAACGCCGCGUGAGGGAUGAAGGUUUUCGGAUCGUAAACCUCUGUCUUCAGGGACGAUAAUGACGGUACCUGAGGAGGAAGCCACGGCUAACUACGUGCCAGCCGCCGCGGUAAUAC